UACGUAGGUGGCGAGCGUUGUUCGGAUUUACUGGGCGUAAAGGGAGCGUAGGCGGACUUUUAAGUGAGAUGUGAAAUACCCGGGCUCAACUUGGGUGCUGCAUUUCAAACUGGAAGUCUAUAGUGCAGGAGAGGAGAAUGGAAUUCCUAGUGUAGCGGUGAAAUGCGUAGAGAUUAGGAGGAACACCAGUUGCGAAGGCGGCUCUCUGGACUGUAACUGACACUGAGGCACGAAAGCGUGGGGAGCAAACAGGAUUAGAUACCCCCGUA
rnacentral:rRNA from 1 species